rnacentral:rRNA from 1 species
UACAGAGGGUGCGAGCGUUGUUCGGAAUUACUGGGCGUAAAGCGUGCGCAGGCGGUUUUGUAAGCCAGAUGUGAAAUCCCCGGGCUUAACCUGGGAAUGGCAUUUGGGACUGCAAGGCUGGAGUUUGGCAGAGGAGACUGGAAUUCCUGGUGUAGCAGUGAAAUGCGUAGAUAUCAGGAGGAAUACCGAUGGCGAAGGCAGGUCUCUGGGUCAAGAUUGACGCUCAUGCACGAAAGCGUGGGGAGCAAACAGG